AUGAAUUCCAGUCAGGUGUUCAACCGUACCGGUCCAUGCAUUGCGCAACCUUUCGAGAACAGGACGGAUGGCAAUCACAUCUUCGACCUCGGUGGAUGCCUCUUUUUGUCCAUGAUGCCAUUUGAUACUGAAGUAAAUGUGCUGAUUUGUGUGUUCUUGAUGCUCACCAUCCUCUCUUUGGCUCUUAACGGAUUCACUUUGUUGGGACUUGGACGCUCAGAGGACCUGUCUUGGGAGCCACGCUAUGCCCUGUUGAAGAACCUGAUUCUGAGUGACAUUGUGCAAACCAUCAAUUUGGGCCCGUUUGUGACUCACUGCUUAUGGCAGAGAAGGACAAUGAACUUCGACACCUGGUGCCUCAUCCAGUAUUUCACAGGCAGCACCUGUAUCUUCUGCACACUCAUCACCAUCACCUGCAUGGCCAUUGAGCGAUACCUGUAUGUGUGCCAUGCCAUCCACUACCUGUCCAUCCUCACCCCACUGCGCCUUCGCCUCACUAUCAGCCUCACCUGGGUCUUGUCCAUCAGCGUUGGCUGCAUUAACAUCACCCUACUACACCUGGGGGAGGGGGGAUAUGGCACAGCAACCUCUGGACUCAUAUGUGAGCCUGACACAGUGGAACGCCACAUGGGUUUCCCCAGGGCAGCGGCUAUCACCCGCAAGCUGGUGGGCUUCAUCAUCACCCUGCUCUGCCUCCUCAGCUACUUCUUUGCCUAUGUGCGGAUGUACCAGGACGCCCGCAACGCUGUGGUGCCCUUCAACACGGUGAACACGCGGGCGCGCAACACUGUGCUUUUCUACUGUGGGAUGUUGUUCUUGCAGCUGCUCCCUAUGUUCCUCAAGAUCACCUCAGAUGCUCUGUGGGAGCUGGAGGGCACAGGGGCCAUGAUGGCUCCCCUGACGACUCUCUCUGGGGCUGGGACCUCGCUGUCGGCCGGCACCCUGCACAUUUCCCUCCUGGCUCUCAUCCUGGUGCCUCCCUGCAUCAACCCCCUCAUCUAUGGCCUCCGCAACUGGGAGGUGCGUCAGGCGUUGCCCAGACUCUUCUGGUGGAAGGGUGAACGCCCUGAGCUAGACAUGGACAGGACUUGUGUCUCCCAGAUAUGGCAACUGAGGAGAGGUACGAUGAGGAGCAUUGAAGUUGGGAGGAGAGAUAAAAACCUGGAAAGGAAAUGUACAAUGGUUAUCAAGGAUACAUAG
rnacentral:lncRNA from 13 species